rnacentral:hammerhead_ribozyme from 1 species
AUCCGGUUGAUGAGUCUUAAAUAGGACGAAACGCGUGUCCUGGAU